CGAUGGACUACCCAACCUCCUCCACUUUCUAUCACCUGCUGGUGCCUCUCAUUGACUACAUCUACUUGCUCUCUUGUCCUGUCUUCCAGGUGAAGACAAGCAGGUGAUCCUCUCUGAACACAGGACAGAGUGAAGAAGUUCUCAGGGAAGGGCUGACCCUCCAAAGAUGUAAUUUCUUACAAGGACAUCUCCACUUUGAUACAUGAAGCUAUCUUUCUCUCCUUGGAUCUGAUUCCUGAAUGCUGUCACCAUGUACCAAUGCUCUCAUAUCCUGAUUGAGUUGGAAGAAGGAAGCUUGAGUCCCAGUUACUUCAUGCAAUGGUGUGCUGUGCAUCAGGAAGUCUACUGGCCUGUGAGCUGAUCUUCUCAUAGUCAACUCACCUUCUGUCCACAUACCAUUUGCAUGGAAUCCCACACACAAAUACCACUAUCAGGAUCCUAACUGGAGAUAGAAUCCAUCUCUGAUUACCCACAGGUAUGGGCAAGGUUGAGGGAACUAACAAGAAGUUGGCAUGUCCCUCUACUUUCUCAGGGCUUCAUGACCACCCCAACGCUCCCAGAGCUGAGAGGACAGAGAAGUAACCAGUGCUCCUGGGCCUGACUGAGCUGUUAUCAUGGAACCCGAAGUCAUAAAGGGAAGUGGCCCCUGGCUGGGGAGAAGGCAACUGAUUACCCUCCCUCCACUUGUCUUUCCAUCACCUGCUGGUGCCUCUCAUUGACUACAUCUAUUCACUCUCUUGCCCUGUCUUCCAGGUGAAGACAAACAGGUGAUCCUCUCUGAGCACAGGACAGAGUGAAAAAUGAUAGGCUAGAUCUCUGGAGGCAAACAAAAUAAUCAGCACACCCACUCAGAGAUCCUGCUGUCAGCCUAUUUUUGGCCUGUGUUCAACUAUAGAGAGGAAGAUUGACCCUUUCUGGUAUCAGAAAUGUAUAUGAUCCUCCCUACCAUUGGAAUCCCCUGCACUAGGCUGGCCCCUGCAUACUUAGAGCCUCUAUUUUUACUGUGGUCUUCCUGCCUUAGUCAUAAGGAGAUUCCCUCCACAUUGUGCCUGAUACAGUUGUCCUAUCCGAUCUCACCACCAUUGCUGCCAUCAUUGAUACUCUCCUGCUGGGGCCUCCUCCUGCUUAAGUUCUUUUCUGUUCUGCUGCUGUGACUGACAUCGACUCUAUACCUCCUGUCCCCACUACUACAUUAAAGCCCCUUGCGGACAAGAGAUCAAAAAUUAAGUGUGAUAUUCUCAAUGCAGUGAGAAUAUUCCUGGUUUUUCUCAGUUCUCACUGGAACGUAGUUCUCCGACUGGUUCUCUGUACAAUUAAAGAAAGCUGCAUGCGAGCAGACGAAACUAUGGCUUAAAAGGCUGAAGGUGCAGGGAUCUGAACUCAAUUCUGGGACAGCUGCUUCAUUAACAGAAAUUAGCAUCUUGGAAGUAUCUCCUAUCCUAGGGCUUGUUCUUUGUGGAUAAAAAGAUGCCCAGGGAUUCUGUCUACAUCCCUUGGGUUCUUUGCCAUUUUCACAGCCACUGGCUCCCGACACUUUGCCUCUUAACAGCCAGUGCUCUAUCGUUGAAGGAUGGGCCUCAGGCUGCCUUGACUGCACACAUGGAGAAUCAGGUGCUUUUUAACUAACAACUGAAGGAUGCAGGGCAAAUCCCUCAGCUUAAGGCUCUUCCCUGAGGAUGACCAUGGCACUUCCAGCUGCAGGUCUGGGGUGGCUGCUCAUCUCUUGAACCACUUUCCUCCCACAUCCCUUGUGUACUGCACCCUACCACCCCAAUUUCUCCCUGGGAAGUACAUUGAUUUGUGCUAGCAACUGCUUACUGGAGGACCCAGCUGUUAGAGUGGACACUUUCUCUGGAUGUUGGGUGAAGCCUAUGUAGGAUUAAAGGAGAGGAAGCAGACAAGGAGAGCCUCAGGUCAUGAUGCAGAUAUAAGGUCUGAAGCCCCAGUGAUGUGCUCCAAAGACUGCUCGAAGCUAUGCUGCAUUGGGCAGAAAUGGCCAGGCACUACUACCCCUACUGUGCUCAGUCAUCAGCUGGAUUUGCUUGGGGAGACCACAGUGACAAGUGCUGCGAUGGAUCCCAAAGGCAGUGCAGCUACCUGCCAUCCUACAGCUGAAUGCCAAGGCUUGCCUUGAAAAGCAAUUCAAGCAGCCCAUCUCCAGGGCUGUCACAUGGAGCUUUCUUUAACCCAUCCUUCCCCCUCUGAAUGCUGGGAGAAGCUAAAUGCUGGCAGUCUUCCUCCAGCUUCAAAUCCAAUUAAGUUCACUGGAGAAUCUGGGCAAUGCCUCCAGAUAACAUUCCUACUUCCAGCCUGGACAGUGUCACACAGUAGUAGCCCUCCUACAAAUCUGUGGUGCUAAUAGCAGUCAUAAUGUUAUAAAUAAAGUUUCG
rnacentral:lncRNA from 1 species